GCCUCUGUGGCUCAGUGGUAGAGCGUGGCACUCGUAAUGCUAAGGUCCCGAGUUCGAUCCUCGGUAGAGGCU
rnacentral:tRNA from 1 species